rnacentral:siRNA from 1 species
CUUCGGAAGAUGGUCAAGGUAC